AUGAAUUCGUUGUGGGCCCAACAAGCAUUGACAUGUCUAUUCAACCAAAGCCAAAGGAAGAUUUAUGUUGUCUUGUUUGAUUUGGAGAUAACUGUUACUAUGAAAUUUUCAAUGUUUCAUCUAUUGGAGAAGUUAAUGUCCCACCACCUAUUCAAUUUCACUACCAAACAUUGCAUUUGUAUUGGACAAUUUGUUUUAAGAAUAAAUAAAGAAGUGGUUUGGUUGGAUUUAUAUGGAAUCACGGAAUUAGUUAAUGGUGAAUCAUCGUUCGUGUGA